UGAUGGUCGUGUACUUCACUUUAAAUUUAACUGAGAUGUAACGAGAACUUUUUCAAUUAUCUCAAAUAAUGCGUAAUUAUUUGACUAUUUUUGUGACUAC